AUGACAAGUUCAAGGGUAUUUCUGCGAGUCUGAAUUACACGUAUUUGCAGUUGCUUAGUAAUGACAAGUUCAAGAGUGCGGAGCACAGAGUACUAGCUACCCCACUUGGCAAGCCAAGAAUAUCAGUUGUAUCUUUUUUCCUUCCUUGGGCUAAAAAUCUCCCAUAUACUAGGAUCACCUCUUAUGAAAAGUUUAUGAACCAUUACAGUGUUGUUGCGCAAAUUGGGGGCCGUGCCUUGCCUCACUUUAAAGUGUAG
rnacentral:lncRNA from 1 species